ensembl:lncRNA
AUCCAGUGGAAUAUUUGGAGUUGGAUGAAGACAUAAAGGAACAAAUCCCUGAAAACUGUGAUGGAAAGUGAGUAGCUCAGCUAUUAUCCCUCUCUUCUUGUCAUGGAACAGUUAAUGAAUUCCUGUACCAUGAGUUUCAUGAAUGUCCUUUAAAUAUUCACCUCCUGUUAAGGAAAGUAUUUUAAAAAGUCUUUGUUGAUUAUUUCUAACUGGUAGAGACAAGACCUACAGCCCAUUUAUUAAAAUACAUCCCAAUAGCAGGAUGGUCAGCUAUCAUAGAGACAGCAAUUCCCAUUUAGUUUCAGUUAUUGCGUUAACUGCUCAUCAGGAUUGCUUUUAUUAUGAUAAAAAGAAAAACAACAAAUAACAUUCAAAACUCACCUAGUACCCAGUACAUCCAGGUUUUCAGUGGUUUCAGAGGCAUGGAAUGACUUAUGCUGGUCCUUGGAUUGACAGCAUUAAAAGUAGACUGGGCUCAGGUAAUGAGUGAUUCAUACAACACCAUUUAAAUUGUGUAUAUGCAAAAGAGUUAUAACAGCUGUACAUAUUUGUUCUAUGGAAAAUUAAAAUACUAUAAAAAUAAAUAUGAACUUAAUGCCAGUCUGAAUGACCAUCAUCAAAAAGUCUACAAACAAUAAAUGAUAGAGAGAGUGUGGAGAAAAGGGAACCCUCCUACACUAUUGGUGGGAAUAUAAAUUGGUGCAGCCACUGUGGAAAACAGUAUGUCGAUUUCUUAAUACACUAAAAAUAUAAAUACCAUAUGAUCCAGCAAAUCCCACUCCUGACCAUAUACCUGAGCAAAAGUGCAAUUCAAAAAGAUACACACACUCCAAUAUUCAAAACAGCAUUAUUUACAACAGCCAAGACAUGGAAGUAAACUAAGUGUUCAUCCAUCAACAGAGGAGUGGAUAAAGAAGAUGCAUACAUAUAACACAAUGGGAUAUUACUCAGCCAUAAAAAAGAAUGAAAUGACGCCAUUUGCAGCAACAUGGAUGAACCUAGAGAUUAUCAUACUGAGUGAAGUAAGUAACACAAGGACAAAUAUCAUAUGAUAUCACUUAUAUGUGGAAUAUAAAAAAAUGAUACAAAGGAACUUAUAACAGAAAUAGACUCUUGGACAUAGAAAACAAACUUAUAUUUACCAAAGGAGAAAGGAGGGGAUAAUUAGGAGUUGGGGAUUAACAUAUACACACUACUGCAUAUAAAACAAAGACUUACCACCUAGCAUGGGGAACUAUUCUCACUAUCUUAACCUAUAGUGGAAAAGAAUCUGAAAAAGAAUACAUAACUGACUCACUUUGCUGUACGUCUGAAACAAUGUAAAUCAACUCUCCUUCAAUUAAAAAAUGCUUAUCAUAUAAAAUAAUUACUUUUUAAAAUAAAAAUUAUUACAUGAGCAAAUGACAUUGAGAAAUAAACUAUAUUCUCUAAAUCUGGCAUUUUAAUGUGUGUGAGCAAGUUGUAAGAAUCUCUGUGAUAAAGAAAAAGGAAGAAUGUACAUAUAUGUACAUUCGACUGGGUCACUGCUGCACAAUAGGAAUUGAAGAAACAUUGUAAAUCAACUAUACUUUAAUUUUUAAAAAAAAGGAAAGAAAGAAACAUGAUGGGUAUUGUUUACCCCACAUACAAUGGUAUUUGUGAGUAGGGAACAUUUUCUCCAAAACCCUAUUCAUUAAUUUCUGCUUCUCUAAGUGGACAGUGACCUGGCCCAGGAGUCAAAAGACUGGCUGGAUCCUAACUCCAAUCUACUCCUAGCACCUUGUUUAACCUUGGAUAAGACACACAGGUUCUCAGCUGUGCGGUUCCUCUAAUGUAAAGUGAGAGCACUCAUCCAGAAGCAUCUCAGUACUUGUUCAGAUCUCAAGUUCGAUGACACCAACAGAGUUCUUGGCCAAAAGAAUUCAGCUUCUUCCACACUUAUUUUCACUGAAUCUAAGUCAACCCUCAGAACACAUAAUAAUCAUUAUUAUUAACAUAAUAAUAAUAUGUUAUUAAUAACACUUAAAAAGCAUCCCCAACCCACAGAUUGAGAGUUAAGUUUUAUUCAGUGAACAUUCAUAUGACUUUAAGAUCAGGAGGCAGCAUCUCAAGUAACCCUGAGAAAACUGCUCCAAGGUGAUGAGGGGGGAGUCAGGAUAUAUAGGAAUUUUGCGAUAAAGAGCAAGUAGUAAGAACAAAAGUUUACUGUUAAUCAGAAAACUAGAUAGCUCAAGUUAAGGAAUUUAGAGCUUUUCUAUGUAUAAGAAGAUGCAAAGGUCUGGGGUCACAGAAAUCAUUCCUUUGAUGUGCACCUCACCUCCCUGGAGCCAGUAUCCUGUGUUUUCACAGCCUGAGGGCUUACCCUUGAUGACUGCUGGAUGGCAGGGGUUCUUGUUUCCUUCCUGGGUUCCCUCAAGGCUCACCCUUGGAGGUGGCUGAAAUUGCUGAUGACUGUGACAGCCUUUGUUUAUUAAUAUGGCAGGCAAAAUUUAUUUCCUAGUGGAUAAGACAAAAUUAGUUACCUCUCUGGAAAAAACAACAACAACAAAAAAACCCAAAAAAAACAUAGCCACAAAACAGUGAGAAUUUUCCAAACAUGCCCUGAAUGUGAUCAAGAAUUUGAAUCCAGAUGGAUCUGAAGGGUGCAUGAGAGGACUGAUGGGGGGUAUGAAGACUCAGACACAUCAAGUUCAGGACCAUGGCAUUUGGGAGAAGACACGCAGAAGUAUUUAGUGCAAGAAUGACAUUAACUGCUAUGGCAUCAUGCACAAAGUGAAAUUCAACCCCCCAUCCCCAUUUACCACAUCAGUAUUGACAACACUCUAGAAUCUACCAUCUGGGGACAGUCUAAUCCUUCUUCAGCCCUAUCUUUAAUUUGUUGUUGAAACUUGUCUGCACAGCUAAUUCCAUAGGUUAUUGUUCUAAGGUCCAACAAAAUACUUUUGUUUUACUAGGCGAAUAGCUUUGUGGAAAAAAAAAUGAAUCAGUUGAUCUAAGAAAGAAAUGGAAAUUUUUAUUUAAAUCAAAUUUGAGGAUUAUAACCUAGGAAGAACAUCUCAGAAAACUGUGAGAACUGGUCCACUGGUUAGAAGUCAAGACACAGCUUUUUGAGAUAGAGGGCUGUAUAUUAAAUGACAUUUUAUUUACAUUUUACAUAAUUAAGAUCUAAGUGCUUUCAUGGUGGGUAAUGUGACCCCUUAUAGGAUCAAGAAGGAAUGUGCUGACUUGUUGCUGCUGGGAGAAUGUUGCUCUUGAUGGUGGAGCAGGUGUUCCUGCUGAUGGGGGAGGUCUGGUCCAUGCAAAAGGCAAAUACACAUGCACAGUGGGGGAGAGAGGAGGCCAGAGGGCAGAGAGGGUUUUUAUGUUUACAUUUUUCUUGUUUUGCUAUAAAAUAUGAAUUUUAUUUUAUAGCCUAAAGAAUUAAGGAAACCAUUUUCCCAAAGAUUUUGGGCUGAACACUGUCCGUUUUCCUUGAUUCCCCAUCUUUCCCUCCAUAUGUUGUGGUGUGACUAAGAUUUUUACAGAAUGGAUUCCAGGCAUUCACAUCCCCACUUUCCACAUACAGAAACUGAAGAGAAGUAAGGUGAAGGCAAAUCUCGAAGGUCAAGGUUUAAGGGGUCGGAAUUUGAACACGGGUGAACCUGAAAGGAGAGAACAGGGAAGUUGGAGAGUGACUGACGUGAGGAGAGGCAUGAGGCUUAGGGACAUCACUGAGCCUUCUUCUAGCUUUUCCUUCCCUCUGUGUCACACCUUGAAGCCAGGAGUGUUCUUAGCACAAGAUGCCUGUAGGAGCCAUGGACUUGUAUUACCUCUCUUGAUAUUUCUGGCUAUUUCCAUCCUCCCAAAUGUAUGCUAAAGACACCUAAUUAUUUUAGCCAGACCUCACAACCUUUUUUCAAGAAGAAGUUUCCCACUGGGUCCAUUCAAGUGAAUAAAACACCCUUAAACUAUGGGAACCUCCCUCUGGGAAUGAGCAAAAAGAGAAGGCUAAGGAGAUAAAGGAGCAUCAAAGUAGACCCAAAAGGAGAAAUUAGGAGAAUCAGAAUUAAUUCAGAUGAAAAUUGAGAAGGACUCCAUGAAAAUAGUGUUGCUUUUCAGGUUCAUGCAUUUAAAUAUGAAUGUGUCAGUGUGAGGGGAGCUAGAUGGUUAGUUUUAAGAAAUGCUUUUCUGAAGAGCUCCAUGGCAACUGGAGCAGGCUAUUGGAUGUGAUCACUGUCCCUAAAGCUCUGUUCUAAACAGGUUAGCGAUAUUAACUGGAAAGAUGAGGGUGCACUUCUGCAUAGAGAAGGCAGCCCAGCUACUGCUUUAAGGUUUGGAGAGUGAAGCAAGGGGCAGAGAGGAUGGCAGUGUUGUGAUUUAAUCAUCAGACUUUGCACAUUUUAAUAAUUUCAAAUGCUAAGAAGAUUAUUUUUGCCAUACCCACAGCAUGUGAAAAUUCCCAGGCCAGGAAUGGAACCUGUGCCACUUCUGUGACCUGAGCCACGGCAGUGACUCGAGCCAUAGUGACAACACCAGAUCCUCAACCUGCUUGGUUAACAAAUCCGACAAGGAACCAUGAGGUUGCGGGUUCGGUCCCUGCCCUUGCUCAGUGGGUUAAGGAUCCGGUGUUGCCGUGGGCUGUGGUGUAGGUUGCAGACUCCGCUUGGAUCCCACAUUGCUGUGGCUCUGGCGUAGGCCGGCUGCUACAGCUCCAAUUAGACCCCUAGCCUGGGAACCUCCAUAUGCCGCAGGAGCAGCC